GGGCUCGCGGCCGAUUAGCUUGUUGGUGGGGUAACGGCCUACCAAGGCGAUGAUCGGUAGCUGGUUUGAGAGAAUGGUCAGCCACACUGGGAUUGAGAUACGGCCCAGACUCCUACGGGAGGCAGCAGUCUAGAAGCUUCGGCAAUGGGGGCAACCCUGACCGAGCGACGCCGCGUGCGGGAUGAAGGCCUUCGGGUUGUAAACCGCUUUCGACAGGGAAGUUGACGGUACCUGGAAAGAAGCCUCGGCUAACUCCGUGCCAGCAGCCGCGGUAAUACGGGGGAGGCAAGCGUUAAUCGGAUUCAUUGGGCGUAAAGGGCGUGUAGGCGGUUCCUUAAGUCGGGUGUUAAAGACCACGGCUCACCCGUGGGCCUGCGCCCGAUACUGAGGGACUGGAGUGCAGGAGAGGCGAGCGGAAUUCCCGGUGUAUCGGUGAAAUGCGUAGAU
rnacentral:rRNA from 1 species